CAGAGACUGGCGGGUUCUGGGGAACUUGGUGCCAUGGAACACAGUAGGGACGUUCUGCUUCUCAUCAAGAACAUGAAGACAUUAAGAGGUGGAAUUGUAAUGGGGAAAAAGACUUUUGCAUUCUGGUAACCAACUGAUCCUACCCGGACCCAUGAUGCAUAACUCAGCUGGUCCUGUGGCGCACACCCAGAGGCCGACUCAAUGCAUGAAGACUGUUUUCCACACCCCUAUGAUUUCAUCCCCAACCAAGCAGCAGCAUCCAUUCCCUAGCCCCCUGCCCACCAAAUUAUCCAUAAAAACUCUGGCUUCUGAGUUCUCAGCAAAACUGAUUUUAGUAAUAACUCCAGUUCUUCCACUUGGCUGGCCUUAGUUAAUUAAACUUAUUCUUUACUAUAGUACCGUGUUCCCAGUGAAUUGGUUUUGUCUGUGUAGCAGGCAGGACAACCCAUCAGGCAAUCAC
rnacentral:lncRNA from 1 species